UACGAAGGGGGCGAGCGUUGUUCGGAUUUACUGGGCGUAAAGGGCGCGCAGGCGGCGCAUCAAGUCAGGCGUGAAAGCCCCGGGCUUAACCUGGGAACUGCGUCUGGGACUGGUGGGCUAGAGAUCGGGAGAGGAGAGUGGAAUUCCCAGUGUAGAGGUGAAAUUCGUAGAUAUUAGGAAGAACACCAGUGGCGAAGGCGGCUCACUGGCCCGGUACUGACGCUGAGGCGCGAAAGCGUGGGGAGCAAACAGG
rnacentral:rRNA from 1 species